UCGUUCGUUUUCUUGCUUGCUGGCGGUUUAUUUUUCGCCCAGGUGUUACGCGCCUUGCGUUGAUUCGAUUUGUGGACCACGAAGAGAAGCACAGUGUUGUGAUUUCUCGUACAAGUAAAUUGAUUUCCCCCUUCAUCAUACUCAAACGAUCAUGUGUAUGCGUUCCUUCAGAUUGCGGAGCUGAGAACACGCUGAAGACAGGGGAUGUGAUCCAGUGCCGUGAGUGUGGCUACCGCAUCCUCUACAAGAAGCGCACCCGCAGGAUUGUUCAAUACGAAGCUCGCUGAAGACAGAAGAACAAACAUCAUUCACUGUUGGUAGGUGCCUCGAUUGAUGUGGAGUGUGCCCUGAGACAAAGCUACAAUGGAGAAAUGUAUUAUAUACAGUACUUUUAGGUCUUAUUUGUCCGUUGGACUUUGGCUUGAAGUGGUAAAACUUGUUGUAACCGUAUUGAGAUUUUAGACAUUUGAGAAUCCAGAUUAUGCAUCCCAAAAGCUGGAUGUCGAAAAAUGGUUAUUAUUGCUAUUGCCAGCAAUAAAAUGCUCUGUUGGUUGGUUGCGGCCUCUUGCUCUUA